rnacentral:lncRNA from 1 species
CAGCGAUGGACACUGCAGCCAGCCGGAGCGUAAAAAGGUGUCGGUCAAAGAAGAUGGCCAUGGAGACAGCAGCGUGGUCAGAGUGGUAGGAGCUGACCAUCAGUGAGAGCUGCUCUGUGCCUGGCAGCUGGGUGCUAGAGCCUGCGAUCCACUGGCUUGCCUCACUGUAGUUGGUGGUGGUGGUGACAGAGACUGCAGCAUGACCAGAGUGCUUUUCUGGCUUUGCCCGCCCAGCUGCUCCGUGCCAGGAGGAGGAGGAGA